rnacentral:rRNA from 1 species
ACGCACGCUGGCGGCGUGCUUAACCCAUGCAAGUCGAACGGAAAGGCCCCUUUGGGGGUCCUCGAGUGGCGAACGGGUGAGUAACACGUGAGUAACCUGCCCUUGACUUCGGGAUAACUUCAGGAAACUGGGGCUAAUACCGGAUAGGAAUCCUUGCUGCAUGGUGGGGGUUGGAAAGCUUCGGCGGUUUUGGAUGGACUCGCGGCUUAUCAGCUUGUUGGUGGGGUAGUGGCUUACCAAGGCUUUGACGGGUAGCCGGCCUGAGAGGGCGACCGGCCACAUUGGGACUGAGAUACGGCCCAGACUCCUACGGGAGGCAGCAGUGGGGAAUAUUGCACAAUGGGCGGAAGCCGGAUGCAGCAACGCCGCGUGCGGGAUGACGGCCUUCGGGUUGUAAACCGCUUUCAGCAGGGGCGAAGCUUGUGGUGACGGUACCUGCAGAAGAAGCACCGGCUAACUACGUG